UGUCUUGAGGUAGAACUGACUAUGGUGGUGGUUUCUAACUAUAAGAGCACCAGGAGCUCCCAUGGAUUCAUCCCACUCAAAAUUGACGUCAAAUUUAACAUCUGUAGCUGAUACUGAUGUGAGUGUUGCGUUCCACUUCUCCAAGAUUGCUGCUUUUCCAAGCUUUCCUCUCCCGUUUUCUGCAACAGUAAAUAAUAACAAUAAUGGUUGCUGCAGUUAACAAACGGAGAAAGGACAAAAGGGAUUCUUUUUUCUUCAUACAACUGAAGAACCAAGCCAAUUAGGAGACUCGUUAGUGACAGAAAAAUUACAGAAUCAAGAUUACCUGGAUCAAUCUGAUCAGCACUGACGAGCUGAAUGGAGACGCCUCUGUGGAAGAGCUCAUGCAGUCUAUCAAGUAUAGAGGCACCAACAUCUUUCACGUCCAAAAUGUUCUUCUUCAUCAAAACGACAGUCCCUUUGAUCUUUGGGCGCUCUCCAUUCUCAAUUUCUAUGGGUUUGUCUCGAUUCUUUCCACAAAC